rnacentral:rRNA from 1 species
AGGACGAACGCUGGCGGCGUGCCUAACACAUGCAAGUCGAACGCGCUCCAUUCGGUAGCAAUACUGAUGAAGAGCGAGUGGCGAACGGGUGAGUAGCACGUGAGCAACCUGCCCCGAAGACCGGGACAACACCGGGAAACCGGUGCUAAUACCGGAUAUCCCUAUCGGACCGCAUGAUCUGAUAAGGAAAUGGAUUCCGCUUCGGGAGGGGCUCGCGGCCUAUCAGCUAGUUGGUGAGGUAACGGCCCACCAAGGCAUCGACGGGUAGCUGGUCUGAGAGGACGAUCAGCCACACUGGGACUGAGACACGGCCCAGACUCCUACGGGAGGCAGCAGUGGGGAAUCUUGCGCAAUGGGCGAAAGCCUGACGCAGCAACGCCGCGUGGAGGACGAAGGCUUUCUGAGUUGUAAACUCCUUUCAGCAGGGACGAUAGUGACGGUACCUGCAGAAGAAGCACCGGCCAACUACGCGCCAGCAGCCGCGGUAAC